CCUACUUUUUUCAGCAGUGGGGAAUAUUGCACAAUGGGGGAAACCCUGAUGCAGCAACUCCUCGUGAUCUAAUAAUUCCUUCUUUUCUUAAAUCUCUUUCCUAAUUUAAUUAACAUUACUUUACCUUAUUAUUAAUCCCCUUCUAACUACUUUCCAUCAUCCUCUUUAAUACGUAGUUUUCUAUCGUUAUCCUUAAUCACUUGUCUUAAAGGGUGAGUAGGCGGACGAUUAAGCCAUGGGUGAAAGGCUAAGGAUCAACCGUAGUAAGCCCUUGGAACUGAUUGGAUUGAGUGCAGGAGAGGAGAGUGGAAUUAAUAGUGUAGAGGUGAAAUGAGUAGAUAUUAGGAGGAAAACAAGUGGAGAAGGAGAAUAUAUGGAAUGUAAAUGAAGAUGAGGAACGAAAGAGUGGGGAGCAAACAGGAUUAGAUAACAUAGUAGUC
rnacentral:rRNA from 1 species